rnacentral:rRNA from 1 species
GACGAACGCUGGCGGCGUGCUUAACACAUGCAAGUCGAACGGAAAGGCCCUGCUUUUUUGGGGUGCUCGAGUGGCGAACGGGUGAGUAACACGUGAGUAACCUGCCCUUGACUUUGGGAUAACUUCAGGAAACUGGGGCUAAUACCGGAUAGGAGCUCCUGCUGCAUGGUGGGGGUUGGAAAGUUUCGGCGGUUGGGGAUGGACUCGCGGCUUAUCAGCUUGUUGGUGGGGUAGUGGCUUACCAAGGCCUUGACGGGUAGCCGGCCUGAGAGGGUGACCGGCCACAUUGGUACUGAGGUACGGCCCAGACUCCUACGGGAGGCAGCAGUGGGGAAUAUUGCACAAUGGGCGGAAGCCUGAUGCAGCAACGCCGCGUGCGGGAUGACGGCCUUCGGGUUGUAAACCGCUUUCGCCUGUGACGAAGCGGGAGUGACGGUAAUGGGUAAAGAAGCACCGGCUAACUACGUG